rnacentral:misc_RNA from 1 species
UCCCCGUUACCGGGGCAGUCUGGCUAGAAAAAUUCAACUAACCAUAAGGGUUGCGCUCGUUGAGGGACUUAACCCUACAUCUCACGACACGAGCUGACGACGGCCAUGCAGCACCUGUCAUCGGGUUCCCGAAGGCACUCUUUCCUUUCGGAAAGAUUCCCGAGAUGUCAAGUCCUGGUAAGGUUCUUCGCUUAGCCUCGAAUUAAACAACACGCUCCACCGCUUGUGCGGGUCCCCGUCAAUUCCUUUAUGUUUUAGCCUUGCGGCCGUACUCCACAGGCGGGAUGCUUAACGCGUUAGCUUCGCUACAACCAGGGUCGAUACUGAUUACAGCUAGCAUCCAUCGUUUACGGCGUGGACUAC